GCAGUAGCCGCGGUAAUACGAAGGGUGCAAGCGUUACUCGGAAUUACUGGGCGUAAAGCGUGCGUAGGUGGUGGUUUAAGUCCGUUGUGAAAGCCCUGGGCUCAACCUGGGAAUUGCAGUGGAUACUGGAUCACUAGAGUGUGGUAGAGGAUAGUGGAAUUUCCGGUGUAGCAGUGAAAUGCGUAGAGAUCGGAAGGAACAUCUGUGGCGAAGGCGACUAUCUGGGCCAACACUGACACUGAGGCACGAAAGCGUGGGGAGUAAACAGGAUUAGAUACCCCCGUAGUCCCUGUCUCUUAUAC
rnacentral:rRNA from 1 species